GACGAACGCUGGCGGCGUGCCUAAUACAUGCAAGUCGAGCGAGCUUGCCUAGAUGAUUUUAGUGCUUGCACUAAAUGAAACUAGAUACAAGCGAGCGGCGGACGGGUGAGUAACACGUGGGUAACCUGCCCAAGAGACUGGGAUAACACCUGGAAACAGAUGCUAAUACCGGAUAACAACACUAGACGCAUGUCUAGAGUUUGAAAGAUGGUUCUGCUAUCACUCUUGGAUGGACCUGCGGUGCAUUAGCUAGUUGGUAAGGUAACGGCUUACCAAGGCAAUGAUGCAUAGCCGAGUUGAGAGACUGAUCGGCCACAUUGGGACUGAGACACGGCCCAAACUCCUACGGGAGGCAGCAGUAGGGAAUCUUCCACAAUGGACGAAAGUCUGAUGGAGCAACGCCGCGUGAGUGAAGAAGGGUUUCGGCUCGUAAAGCUCUGUUGGUAGUGAAGAAAGAUAGAGGUAGUAACUGGCCUUUAUUUGACGGUAAUUACUUAGAAAGUCACGGCUAACUACGUGCCAGAUGUGAAAGCCUUCGGCUCAACCGGAGAAUUGCAUCAGAAACUGUUGAACUUGAGUGCAGAAGAGGAGAGUGGAACUCCAUGUGUAGCGGUGGAAUGCGUAGAUAUAUGGAAGAACACCAGUGGCGAAGGCGGCUCUCUGGUCUGCAACUGACGCUGAGGCUCGAAAGCAUGGGUAGCGAACAGGAUUAGAUACCCUGGUAGUCCAUGCCGUAAACGAUGAGUGCUAAGUGUUGGGAGGUUUCCGCCUCUCAGUGCUGCAGCUAACGCAUUAAGCACUCCGCCUGGGGAGUACGACCGCAAGGUUGAAACUCAAAGGAAUUGACGGGGGCCCGCACAAGCGGUGGAGCAUGUGGUUUAAUUCGAAGCAACGCGAAGAACCUUACCAGGUCUUGACAUCCAGUGCAAACCUAAGAGAUUAGGUGUUCCCUUCGGGGACGCUGAGACAGGUGGUGCAUGGCUGUCGUCAGCUCGUGUCGUGAGAUGUUGGGUUAAGUCCCGCAACGAGCGCAACCCUUGUCAUUAGUUGCCAUCAUUAAGUUGGGCACUCUAAUGAGACUGCCGGUGACAAACCGGAGGAAGGUGGGGAUGACGUCAAGUCAUCAUGCCCCUUAUGACCUGGGCUACACACGUGCUACAAUGGACGGUACAACGAGAAGCGAACCUGCGAAGGCAAGCGGAUCUCUUAAAGCCGUUCUCAGUUCGGACUGUAGGCUGCAACUCGCCUACACGAAGCUGGAAUCGCUAGUAAUCGCGGAUCAGCACGCCGCGGUGAAUACGUUCCCGGGCCUUGUACACACCGCCCGUCACACCAUGAGAGUCUGUAACACCCAAAGCCGGUGGGAUAACCUUUAUAGGAGUCAGCCGUCUAAGGUAGGACAGAUGAUUAGGGUG
rnacentral:rRNA from 1 species